CUUUCUUCCUGCUCGCAGGAAUGAAAGCGGCUCUUUUUAAUGCCCGCACAUGUAUGAGCAUAAAAGCCAUUUGCGGAGCAAAUGUGCGAUAUGCGAAUACAUGUAGGAUUGCGUAAGUUGCGUAGCAACGAAGCAAUCCGUUG
rnacentral:sRNA from 1 species